rnacentral:lncRNA from 1 species
UAGAUAUAUUAUUAGAGAUCCUUUAAUAAAAUAUAAAUGAUAAGGUUUUAUAGCAAAUAUCACGAAUAUAUAGGUGUGCAUAGUUUCGAAUGGUUGGUUGAAGAUCAAAUAAGUUCUAGGCAAAGGCAAUUAUAGGCAUAGCUUUGCAAUCUUUUUUAUUUUUGAAUUAUCGGGUAUAUGUUAACGUUGAACCUGGAAUCUAGGGUGACAGUUCAAUUGAAACUGGGGUUCGGUUUGGUAAGGAGAGAACCGAUUAUCUUUUUAAUUUUUUUUUUUUUUUUUUUGACAUCACCGAUUAUCUUUUUAAUAAGGACUCAAAUUUGUAUGGUUUAGGAAUGUAGCUAAAUGACAAUUAAGGCAGUGGCAUGAAUUGUAAAUAUUUAGAUGAAGCAAGGGUUAUUUUCAACUUGUACUUUAGUUUUAAUAUAUUAGAUUUUUAAAGAUAGUUUAUUUAAUUGUCAAUAAUAUUAGAUUGUAAAUAUUGUUCAAGUUUAAGAAUUAAUCUUAAUUUGUAAUUCUUUUUUAAUAGAUUAUAUUAAUUUUUAGUUAGUCAAAUAUUUAUUCAAAAUAAAGAUUUUUUGAAUAUUUACCCAGAUUUGAUUUUGUAUUUUUAUUAUGAACUUUAAAAUAUUUACGGGUUUAUUCCUGUUCGGUUCAGAUAUAAAUGAAUUCUAGUUAAUUUUGGUAUUUCCAUUGAAUUUUAAAC